GAUGAACGCUGGCGGCGUGCCUAAUACAUGCAAGUCGAGCGAAUGGAUUAAGAGCUUGCUCUUAUGAAGUUAGCGGCGGACGGGUGAGUAACACGUGGGUAACCUGCCCAUAAGACUGGGAUAACUCCGGGAAACCGGGGCUAAUACCGGAUAACAUUUUGAACCGCAUGGUUCGAAAUUGAAAGGCGGCUUCGGCUGUCACUUAUGGAUGGACCCGCGUCGCAUUAGCUAGUUGGUGUGGUAACGGCUCACCAAGGCAACGAUGCGUAGCCGACCUGGGAGGGUGAUCGGCCACACUGGGACUGAGACACGGCCCAGACUCCUACGGGAGGCAGCAGUAGGGAAUCUUCCGCAAUGGACGAAAGUCUGACGGAGCAACGCCGCGUGAGUGAUGAAGGCUUUCGGGUCGUAAAACUCUGUUGUUAGGGAGGAACAAGUGCUAGUUGAAUAAGCUGGCACCUUGACGGUACCUAACCAGAAAGCCACGGCUAACUACGUGCCAGCCGCCGCAGUAA
rnacentral:rRNA from 1 species